GACGAACGCUGGCGGCGUGCUUAACACAUGCAAGUCGAACGAUGAAGCCCUUCGGGGUGGAUUAGUGGCGAACGGGUGAGUAACACGUGGGCAAUCUGCCCUGCACUCUGGGACAAGCCCUGGAAACGGGGUCUAAUACCGGAUAUGACCGUCUUGGGCAUCCUUGACGGUGUAAAGCUCCGGCGGUGCAGGAUGAGCCCGCGGCCUAUCAGCUUGUUGGUGAGGUAAUGGCUCACCAAGGCGACGACGGGUAGCCGGCCUGAGAGGGCGACCGGCCACACUGGGACUGAGACACGGCCCAGACUCCUACGGGAGGCAGCAGUGGGGAAUAUUGCACAAUGGGCGAAAGCCUGAUGCAGCGACGCCGCGUGAGGGAUGACGGCCUUCGGGUUGUAAACCUCUUUCAGCAGGGAAGAAGCGAAAGUGACGGUACCUGCAGAAGAAGCACCGGCUAACUACGUGCCAGCCGCCGCAGUAAAAC
rnacentral:rRNA from 1 species